rnacentral:rRNA from 1 species
UGGGGGAUAUUGCACAAUGGGCGAAAGCCUGAUGCAGCGACGCCGCGUGGGGGAUGAAGGCCUUCGGGUUGUAAACUUCUUUUGCUCUGAACAAGGCAUGCUAAUGGGUGUGUUGAGUGUAGGGGUUGAUUAGCGCCGGCUAACUACGUGCCAGCAGCCGCGGUAAUACGUAGGGCGCGAGCGUUGUCCGGAAUUAUUGGGCGUAAAGGGCUUGUAGGUGGCUGGUUGCGUCUGUCGUGAAAGCUCAUGGCUUAACUGUGGGUUUGCGGUGGGUACGGGCUGGCUUGAGUGCAGUAGGGGAGACUGGAAUUCCUGGUGUAGCGGUGGAAUGCGCAGAUAUCAGGAGGAAUACCGGUGGCGAAGGCGGGUCUCUGGGCUGUUACUGACACUGAGGAGCGAAAGCAUGGGGAGCGAACAGG